rnacentral:rRNA from 1 species
GGACGGGUGAGUACGCGUGAGUGACCUGCCCCGAAGAGGGGGAUAACCCUGGGAAACUGGGCUAAUACCCCAUGUGCUUCGUGGGGUUAGAGGACCACGAAGUAAAGGGUGUGGUUACCGAAAGGCGCCACGCCGCUUCGGGAGGGGCCCGCGGCCCAUCAGGUAGUUGGGGGGUAAUGGCCUACCAAGCCUAUGACGGGUAGCCGGCCUGAGAGGGUGUCCGGCACACGGGGACUGAGACACGGCCCCGACUCCUACGGGAGGCAGCAGUGGGGAAUCUUGGCAAUGGGCGAAAGCCUGACCCAGCGACGCCGCGUGGGGGAAGAAGCCCUGCGGGGUGUAACCCCUUUUCGGGGGGAAGAGGAAGGACAGUACCCCCGGAAUAAGGGCCGGCUAACACGUGCCAGCAGCCGCGGUAAAACGUAGGGCCCGAGCGUUACCCGGAUUCACUGGGCUAAAGCGCACGUAGGCGGCUCAGUAAGUCGGGCGUGAAAUCUCCCGGCUCAACCGGGGGGGCCGUCCGAUACUGCUGGGCUUGAGGGCGGGAGAGGGAGGUGGAAUUCCCGGUGAGCGGUGAAAUGCGUAGAUAUCGGGAGGAACGCCAGUGGGGAAGCCGGCCUCCUGCCCGUCCCUGACGCUGAGGUGCGAAAGCCAGGGGAGCGAAAGGGAUUAGAUACCCCUGUGUC